rnacentral:rRNA from 1 species
GACGAACGCUGGCGGCGUGCUUAACACAUGCAAGUCGAACGGAAAGGCCCUGCUUUUGUGGGGUGCUCGAGUGGCGAACGGGUGAGUAACACGUGAGUAACCUGCCCUUGACUUUGGGAUAACUUCAGGAAACUGGGGCUAAUACCGGAUAGGAGCUCCUGCUGCAUGGUGGGGGUUGGAAAGUUUCGGCGGUUGGGGAUGGACUCGCGGCUUAUCAGCUUGUUGGUGGGGUAGUGGCUUACCAAGGCUUUGACGGGUAGCCGGCCUGAGAGGGUGACCGGCCACAUUGGGACUGAGAUACGGACCAGACUCCUACGGGAGGCAGCAGUGGGGAAUAUUGCACAAUGGGCGGAAGCCUGAUGCAGAAACGCCGCGUGCGGGAUGACGGCCUUCGGGUUGUAAACCGCUUUCGCCUGUGACGAAGCGGGAGUGACGGUAAUGGGUAAAGAAGCACCGGCUAACUACGUG